rnacentral:misc_RNA from 1 species
GAACCAUCCACUGGCAAAGUCAGAGGACGGAUCCGUGGUAGGCGUGCCUGAACCUUUGUGGAUAUGGGCACGUUAAACGAGUUUCCAUUCCAUUCCAUUGGAUAUAUCAGUUUGUAAUUUCCAUACGAGUAAGUCUUCCAUACGAGUUCCCAUGUGGAUUUCCAUACGAGUUCACCGCAAGCCUUCAAUUUACAUUAAAAAAGUCAUUAAAAAGAUGUUUAAAUUUUUUUUUUUUGUAUGCUAUAUAUGGCAUUUUUGUUAUUAAAAUGUUUUUAAAUAAUGCGUGUUUUGUGGGGUUUUUAAAAAGAUUUUGUGAGAAUAUACUCAUUUUGGGUACAAACUAAGAGUUCCUCUUAGAAAAUCACAUACAGAUGUAAUCAUUGAGCGAGUCUGUUGUUUGUUUAAUUAGCAGCUCAGAGAAACUGAGUGUACAAGAGUAUUAUCUGCUUAAUUAGCAGUUUAAAGAAUCUGAAGGGAUAUUUACUCCUGGUACAAUAUAGCCUUGCAGGGGAUUGUCUGCUUAAUUAGCAGGUCAUCCUUAGCAUGAGUAGCCAAUGUGAUUACUUGAAUUUGGGCCUUUUCUUGAUCUCGAAUAGAAUCGGUAUUAAACAAAUAUAUCUUUGUAGUAUAAUGAGUAAUUACUGUAAAACAAGAAACUUAUAAAUGCUGUGGAUCUUGGGCAAAUAUAUCACUCUGAAUUUCCCCUUCCUUCCCCAGAAUUGGUCACUGGCCAAGUCCGGGGUGGGCGUGCCUGAACCUCUGUGGAUAUGGGCACGUAAAUAGAGUUCCCAUCCCAUCCAUCCACUCUGAAUUCUGCGAAUGACUCUAUAUAAUAUGGAAGCUCAAUGUGUAUCCUGUUCGAGUCUUGUUCGACCAAGACAAGAAGCGCUACAAUGCGAUGCAUUUGACAAGUGGCAACACCGAAUAUGUGGAACCGGUAUCGAGAGAAACGUCUACCGGCAAUUGGUACAGGGCCUCAUUGAGUUGGAUUUCAUGUGUCAGGUGUGCACUGCCUCUCCCGUGGCCGAAAGUACUCAGACUUCUUUGAACCCCACAGAGCCUGCCGACAAUGUGGAAGAAAUGUCUACGGCAGACAAUGAGCGCCAACGCCAGAACGCCACAGAGCCUGCCGUACAUGUCACCGAAAUUUCUGUUGGGAAUUUUAAUAUUGAAGAAAUACACUGAGAAUCAGGAUGCGCUGCUAGCAUCGUUUGAUGUUCCGCACAGGAAUACAGAAGAUCAUUCAGAACCUGUUGACAUGUGAACAGAGAGUUUUUACAGUGUGAUGACUUUCUCAUUAGUGAUUUGAACGUUGGCCAGGAGCGUCAUUUUCUGUUUUCAACUCCUUUUCAACUGAGCAUAUUGCAGCAAGCUAAACGCUGGUUUAUGGAUGGAACCUUUACGGUUGUUGGUGAACCGUUCAGUGCCUCGGGACAAUUGAUGUCCAUCCAUGCUUUCGUCAAGAAGGAUGGGAUGCGAAAGCAAUUCUCCUUGGCAUUUGCGAUAAUGUCAAGGAAACGAAAAGAGGACUAUGUUCAGGUGCCUGGCAGGCAAUUCGGGUUGUGUUCCCUGAUGUUGAGGUGAAGGGAUGCGUGUUUCAUUGGUCCCAGGCCAUUUGGAGAAAGGUUCAAGACCUAGGGCUGGUUACAACAUACAAAAAGAGGCAGGCUAUGUACACCUACAUCCAGCAACUGAUGGCUCUGCCUUUUUUACCAGCUGUCCAUAUCGUGGAGACCUUUGACGAGCUGAAAGGACGGGCACAGCACAACUGACAGAAUUGACAACCUACAUGGAGAGGCAGUGGGUGAGGAACACAGUGCUUGAUAUGCCAUACUGGUGUGUUUUUAGACACCAUACGGACAAACAACGAUGUAGAAGGAUGGCACAACAGACUGAACAAAAAAGCUGUUCAUGCUGGCCUAGGGUUUUACCAACUGGUGAUUUUGCUGGUAAAGGAGGCAAGAGUUGUGGAACUGAACGUGAGUGCGGAUGACCUGGAGAGAGACAGAAGUAGCCAGUUUUCCUGCGUUGAACUGGGACUUCAUGAGGCCUGGGAGAAAUAUAUGAAUAAAGAAAUGUCGACGUCCACAUUUCUGAAGAGGUGUGCCGGUCUUUACGGACCACCAGAUAGAGAACAGAACAGAAGAGAAGACAGUGAAUAAAUUUGUGAAGGAUUUAUUCAGAUACAUGAUGCACUGGAUUAAAAAAAAUUUCAGUAGUACUAGUAACACAUUGUGGCGGUGAAACAAAUAUUUAAAAAUAUAACACAAAUGCUUAGGUGACACCAGUGUAUGUGUGCUUAUGUUAGCAAAAACAUAUGUAUACAUCAAAUAAACAGAUUUGUGUAAUGUUUUUAAUUCUGUUAUUUAAAAUCUUGUUUUUAAGGCAACAAUACUUUUAUAUUGUCCUUAUUUAAUUCAUUUAAAUGGAGAGAGAGAGAGAGAGAGA